GUAGCUGGUCUGAGAGGAUGAUCAGCCACACUGGAACUGAAACACGGCCCAGACUCCUACGGGAGGCAGCAGUGGGGAAUAUUGGACAAUGGGCGCAACCCUGAUCCAGCCAUACCGCGUGGGUGAAGAAGGCCUUCGGGUUGUAAAGCCCUUUUGUUGGGAAAGAAAUCCAGCUGGCUAAUACCCGGUUGGGAUGACGGUACCCAAAGAAUAAGCACCGGCUAACUUCGUGCCAGCAGCCGCGGUAAUACGAAGGGUGCAAGCGUUACUCGGAAUUACUGGGCGUAAAGCGUGCGUAGGUGGUCGUUUAAGUCCGUUGUGAAAGCCCUGGGCUCAACCUGGGAACUGCAGUGGAUACUGGGCGACUAGAGUGUGGUAAGGGUAGCGGAAUUCCUGGUGUACAGUGAAAUGCGUAGAGAUCAGGAGGAACAUCCAUGGCAAGG
rnacentral:rRNA from 2 species